rnacentral:rRNA from 1 species
UGGACCCGUAAUCCGGGUUGCGGACAGUGUCUGGUGGGUAGUUUGACUGGGGCGGUCUCCUCCUAAAGAGUAACGGAGGAGCACGAAGGUUGGCUAAUCCUGGUCGGACAUCAGGAGGUUAGUGCAAUGGCAUAAGCCAGCUUGACUGCGAGCGUGACGGCGCGAGCAGGUGCGAAAGCAGGUCAUAGUGAUCCGGUGGUUCUGAAUGGAAGGGCCAUCGCUCAACGGAUAAAAGGUACUCCGGGGAUAACAGGCUGAUACCGCCCAAGAGUUCAUAUCGACGGCGGUGUUUGGCACCUCGAUGUCGGCUCAUCACAUCCUGGGGCUGAAGUAGGUCCCAAGGGUAUGGCUGUUCGCCAUUUAAAGUGGUACGCGAGCUGGGUUUAGAACGUCGUGAGACAGUUCGGUCCCUAUCUGCCGUGGGCGCUGGAGAACUGAGGGGGGCUGCUCCUAGUACGAGAGGACCGGAGUGGACGCAUCACUGGUGUUCGGGUUGUCAUGCCAAUGGCACUGCCCGGUAGCUAAAUGCGGAAGAGAUAAGUGCUGAAAGCAUCUAA